GAUGAACGCUGGCGGCGUGCCUAAUACAUGCAAGUCGAGCGAACGGACGAGAAGCUUGCUUCUCUGAUGUUAGCGGCGGACGGGUGAGUAACACGUGGAUAACCUACCUAUAAGACUGGGAUAACUUCGGGAAACCGGAGCUAAUACCGGAUAAUAUUUUGAACCGCAUGGUUCAAAAGUGAAAGACGGUCUUGCUGUCACUUAUAGAUGGAUCCGCGCUGCAUUAGCUAGUUGGUAAGGUAACGGCUUACCAAGGCAACGAUGCAUAGCCGACCUGAGAGGGUGAUCGGCCACACUGGAACUGAGACACGGUCCAGACUCCUACGGGAGGCAGCAGUAGGGAAUCUUCCGCAAUGGGCGAAAGCCUGACGGAGCAACGCCGCGUGAGUGAUGAAGGUCUUCGGAUCGUAAAACUCUGUUAUUAGGGAAGAACAUAUGUGUAAGUAACUGUGCACAUCUUGACGGUACCUAAUCAGAAAGCCACGGCUAACUACGUGCCAGCAGCCGCGGUAAUACGUAGGUGGCAAGCGUUAUCCGGAAUUAUUGGGCGUAAAGCGCGCGUAGGCGGUUUUUUAAGUCUGAUGUGAAAGCCCACGGCUCAACCGUGGAGGGUCAUUGGAAACUGGAAAACUUGAGUGCAGAAGAGGAAAGUGGAACUCCAUGUGUAGCGGUGAAAUGCGCAGAGAUAUGGAGGAACACCAGUGGCGAAGGCGACUUUCUGGUCUGUAACUGACGCUGAUGUGCGAAAGCGUGGGGAUCAAACAGGAUUAGAUACCCUGGUAGUCCACGCCGUAAACGAUGAGUGCUAAGUGUUAGGGGGUUUCCGCCCCUUAGUGCUGCAGCUAACGCAUUAAGCACUCCGCCUGGGGAGUACGACCGCAAGGUUGAAACUCAAAGGAAUUGACGGGGACCCGCACAAGCGGUGGAGCAUGUGGUUUAAUUCGAAGCAACGCGAAGAACCUUACCAAAUCUUGACAUCCUUUGACAACUCUAGAGAUAGAGCCUUCCCCUUCGGGGGACAAAGUGACAGGUGGUGCAUGGUUGUCGUCAACUCGUGUCGUGAGAUGUUGGGUUAAGUCCCGCAACGAGCGCAACCCUUAAGCUUAGUUGCCAUCAUUAAGUUGGGCACUCUAAGUUGACUGCCGGUGACAAACCGGAGGAAGGUGGGGAUGACGUCAAAUCAUCAUGCCCCUUAUGAUUUGGGCUACACACGUGCUACAAUGGACAAUACAAAGGGCAGCGAAACCGCGAGGUCAAGCAAAUCCCAUAAAGUUGUUCUCAGUUCGGAUUGUAGUCUGCAACUCGACUACAUGAAGCUGGAAUCGCUAGUAAUCGUAGAUCAGCAUGCUACGGUGAAUACGUUCCCGGGUCU
rnacentral:rRNA from 1 species